rfam:Ipomoea nil DNA, scaffold: scaffold0684, cultivar: Tokyo-kokei standard.
GCUGGAAUAGCUCAGUUGGCUAAAGUGUGUGGCUGUUAACCACAAGGUCGGAGGUUCAAGCCCUCCAUCUAGCG